GGGAGCCCGAGGGGUGGAAGCCGGCGGCGGCCGAGCGGGGUCAGUUCUCUGUAGUGUUUGCCAAUGUUGGAGCCGUCUGCAAAGUGUCCCCGGCAAGAAGAGGCUGCCUACCACAAGGAAUUUAGCUUACUUUUUAAAGAUUGAAGAAAAAAAAGAAGACAGAAAAAGAAGAACUCAAAGAUACACAAAGUAAUUUGAACCAAGGCUCAGAAGUUUUUGGAGCCGUGAGGGAUACAGCAGUUUGGUCAAUAUUGUCUUAACAUGCUUCAAAUAAAUCAGCCUUUUUAUUUACAGCUUCUCUCCAAGAUAAAAUGGCAAACCCAAAAGAGAAAACUGCAAUGUGUCUGGUAAAUGAGUUAGCCCGUUUCAAUAGAGUCCAACCCCAGUAUAAACUUCUGAAUGAAAGAGGGCCUGCUCAUUCAAAGGCAGUAUAACUCCAACUGUGGAACUGAAUGGGCUUGCUAUGAAAAGGGGAGAGCCUGCCAUCUACAGGCCAUUAGAUCCAAAGCCAUUCCCAAAUUAUAGAGCUAAUUACAACUUUCGGGGCAUGUACAAUCAGAGCCUCACGUGAUCACCACUCAGAUCGAGAUACAGAGUGUUCCCAUCACCUCUGAGAGUUUCCUCAGACCUCUUUGUCCUUGACACAUCCUUCUCCCAGAAAUAAUCACUAUUUUAUUAUCAUAGACUAGUUUUUGCCUGUUGUUGAACUUUUUAUAUCUAGACUCAUACAGUAUUUAUGUGCAUCUGGCUUCUUUUACUUUGUAUAAUGAUUUUCUUGUUUGGGGAUUCAUCCAUGUUGCUUAUAUC
rnacentral:sRNA from 1 species